rnacentral:tRNA from 1 species
GAUAAAGUGAUUAAGAUUAGGUGGUAAAUUGUAAAUUUACACACAAAAUCUAACUUCCUUUAUCA